GAAAGAAACCAACAGGGAUUGCCUCAGUAACGGCGAGUGAAGCGGCAACAGCUCAAAUUUGAAAUCUGGCCCCCAGGGCCCGAGUUGUAAUUUGCAGAGGAUGCUUUUGGCGCGGUGCCUUCCGAGUUCCCUGGAACGGGACGCCAUAGAGGGUGAGAGCCCCGUCUGGUCGGACACCAAGCCUCUGUAAAGCUCCUUCGACGAGUCGAGUAGUUUGGGAAUGCUGCUCUAAAUGGGAGGUAUAUGUCUUCUAAAGCUAAAUACCGGCCAGAGACCGAUAGCGCACAAGUAGAGUGAUCGAAAGAUGAAAAGCACUUUGGAAAGAGAGUUAAAAAGCACGUGAAAUUGUUGAAAGGGAAGCGUUUGCGACCAGACUUGGGCCGGUUGAUCAUCCAGCGUUCUCGCUGGUGCACUCUGCCGGCCCAGGCCAGCAUCAGUUCGCCGCGGGGGAGAAAGGCGGAGGGAAUGUGGCUCCCUCGGGAGUGUUAUAGCCCACCGCGCAAUACCCUGCAGCGGACUGAGGUUCGCGCAUCUGCAAGGAUGCUGGCGUAAUGGUCGCCAACGACCCGUCUUGAAACACGGACCAAGGAGUCGUCUUCGUAUGCGAGUGUUCGGGUGUCAAACCCCUACGCGUAAUGAAAGUGAACGCAGGUGAGAGCUUCGGCGCAUCAUCGACCGAUCCUGAUGUUCUCGGAUGGAUUUGAGUAAGAGCAUACGGGGCCGGACCCGAAAGAAGGUGAACUAUGCCUGUAUAGGGUGAAGCCAGAGGAAACUCUGGUGGAGGCUCGCAGCGGUUCUGACGUGCAAAUCGAUCGUCAAAUAUGGGCAUGGGGGCGAAAGACUAAUCGAACCUCUAUAGUG
rnacentral:rRNA from 1 species